rnacentral:rRNA from 1 species
GACGAACUUUGGCGGCGUGCUUAACACAUGCAAGUCGAACGGAAAGGCCCUGCUUUUGUGGGGUGCUCGAGUGGCGAACGGGUGAGUAACACGUGAGUAACCUGCCCUUGACUUUGGGAUAACUUCAGGAAACUGGGGCUAAUACCGGAUAGGAGCUCCUGCUGCAUGGUGGGGGUUGGAAAGUUUCGGCGGUUGGGGAUGGACUCGCGGCUUAUCAGCUUGUUGGUGGGGUAGUGGCUUACCAAGGCUUUGACGGGUAGCCGGCCUGAGAGGGUGACCGGCCACAUUGGGACUGAGAUACGGCCCAGACUCCUACGGGAGGCAGCAGUGGGGAAUAUUGCACAAUGGGCGGAAGCCUGAUGCAGCAACGCCGCGUGCGGGAUGACGGCCUUCGGGUUGUAAACCGCUUUCGCCUGUGACGAAGCGAGAGUGACGGUAAUGGGUAAAGAAGCACCGGCUAACUACGUGCCAGCAGCCGCGGUGAUACGUAGGGUGCGAGCGUUGUCCGGAUUUAUUGGGCGUAAAGGGCUCGUAGGUGGUUGAUCGCGUCGGAAGUGUAAUCUUGGGGCUUAACCCUGAGCGUGCUUUCGAUACGGGUUGACUUGAGGAAGGUAGGGGAGAAUGGAAUUCCUGGUGGAGCGGUGGAAUGCGCAGAUAUCAGGAGGAACACCAGUGGCGAAGGCGGUUCUCUGGGCCUUUCCUGACGCUGAGGAGCGAAAGCGUGGGGAGCGAACAGGCUUAGAUACCCUGGUAGUCCACGCUGUAAACGGUGGGUACUAGGUGUGGGGUCCAUUCCACGGGUUCCGUGCCGUAGCUAACGCUUUAAGUACCCCGCCUGGGGAGUACGGCCGCAAGGCUAAAACUCAAAGGAAUUGACGGGGCCCCGCACAAGCGGCGGAGCAUGCGGAUUAAUUCGAUGCAACGCGUAGAACCUUACCUGGGUUUGACAUGGAUCGGGAGUGCUCAGAGAUGGGUGUGCCUCUUUUGGGGUCGGUUCACAGGUGGUGCAUGCCUGUCGUCAGCUCGUGUCGUGAGAUGUUGGGUUAAGUCCCGCAACGAGCGCAACCCUUGUUCACUGUUGCCAGCACGUUAUGGUGGGGACUCAGUGGAGACCGCCGGGGUCAACUCGGAGGAAGGUGGGGAUGACGUCAAGUCCUCAUGCCCCUUAUGUCCAGGGCUUCACGCAUGCUACAAUGGCUGGUACAGAGAGUGGCGAGCCUGUGAGGAUGAGCGAAUCUCGGAAAGCCGGUCUCAGUUCGGAUUGGGGUCUGCAACUCGACCUCAUGAAGUCGGAGUCGCUAGUAAUCGCAGAUCAGCAACGCUGCGGUGAAUACGUUCCCGGGGCU